rnacentral:lncRNA from 1 species
CGGAAACCCUAUGUGCCACUGCCAGUGCCACCCAACAAAUUUACUUUCCAGCCGAAAUUAAUUACAUGUUGAACCCGCCAAGUACUUUCUCUUGCAUUGGCUCUACAAAAGUGCAUCAACUCAUAAGUCAGACCAUUUUUCCCAUGGCCAAAAGAUCGAUUCCUACAUUCUUAAAAUUGGUUCAAAAUCCAAUCUUAAUGGUAAUUUUUAUCAAUUUCCUUAUUCUUCACAUCAUAUAAUCUUGCCUGUCUUACGGUCCGCCAGGUGUUUGAUGAAUUGCCGAGACGAACUUUUCCUGGCUUAUGGUUACAUAGUAUCGGGCUAUAUGAAAUAUGGGUUUGUUGAGAAUCUUUUGAUUUGGUUAGGGAACGGGUGUUAUUCUAUUGGAAGUCCUAAUGGAUAUACCUGCUCCAUGAUCCUGAAGGGGUCAACUAAUGUAUAAAUGUGGCAAUGCAUUCACAGCAUAUAGGGAGGGAGGGUCAUGCGCAUAGAGUGAGACCUUACAUUGAGAUUGAUGAUGUGCUUUAGAAGGCUUCUUUUUGUUUCAAUUCACAUUACAUGACCUUGGUUGAUUUAUACUUGAAGCAUGGAAGGGUGGAGUGGGAGAAAAAGAGUGUUUAAUUUGAUAUUGGAGAAGAAUUUGGUGUGUUGUAUGUCAAUGAUCACGGGUUACAUGAAUCAUUGGGAUGUGGAGGAUGCUGAAGAUGUGGUUGAGAAGUCAGUGGAGAAAUGUGUGGUGGCUUAAAUACUAUGAAUGAUGGUUAAAGCAACCACUUGAAACAGCUGAGCAGGCGAUUGAGAUUUAUGUUCAUAUGCAAGGGCUAAGAUAGUCCCAAAAGAUCAAACUUAUGUGAGCUUCAUUGGAGCUUACUCCGUGUUUUCAGCUUUUGAAAUCGAUCAGCUAGUUCAAGCACAACUUAUGAAAACUGAUUUUUUAAUGGACAUAAAAUUGGGAAGUACUAUGACAGACAUGUAUUCUCGAUGUAGGCAAAUUGAGGAUGCAAGACUAGUUUUGAUCACAUGCCCACAAAGAAUGUGUUUUCAUGGACUUUUAUGAUUGAUGAAGACAGGAAGAAUGGGAGUCCAAAUGAAGCACUUGAGCUCUUAGAUAGAAAAUUAAUGGUGUGUCCCACUGUGCCAAGUUACAUUACAUUUUUUGGUGACGUGUCUGCCUGUGCCCAUGCCGGAUUAGUUGCUAAAGAAAGGCAGAUAUUUCAAAGCAUGUAUACAGAUUGUCUUGGUGAAACUGAGAUUGGAGUAUUGUGCUUGUACGGUUAAUCUCUUAGGGCGUAUUGGAAGCAUGAAUCUGUAAAGCAAAUGACUGACAAUCCUGAUUCUGAUGUUUUUGGC